rnacentral:rRNA from 1 species
UACGUAGGGAGCAAGCGUUGUUCGGAUUUACUGGGCGUAAAGGGCGCGAAGGCGGCAUAUUAAGUCAUCUGUGAAAUCUCCGAGCUUAACUCGGAACUGUCAGCUGAUACUGAUGUGCUAGAGUGCGGAAGGGGCAAUCGGAAUUCUUGGUGUAGCGGUGAAAUGCGUAGAUAUCAAGAGGAACACCUGAGGUGAAGACGGGUUGCUGGGCCGACACUGACGCUGAGUGCGCGAAAGCCAGGGGAGCAAACGGG